ACAGGGACUACAGCUAAGAAGUCAACAUGAAGCAAGUCUCUAAAAUGAUCAGGAAUAUUUUUCAUAUGAUUUUUCUUCACUGAAGUAAAUCCGAGCACUUGAAACUCAUCUUUGGAUAAACUGGAAUGAACCUGAUUCCCUUGAUAUGGGAUGGAAAGUCAAAGAAAAUGGAAAGACUGUUUCAUAGCAUCUACAUCUUCCUGCAAGAAUGGAGUACUACAGGGAAAACAAAUAAAGGUUCUACAGGACUUGAAGCAUGCUGCUAUAAACUCAGAUUAGCCAAGUACAUCUGUAUGAAUAUCCAUGAUGUCUCCCCGGUUCAUUUCAAAGACAGAUUUUGACCAGAGACUCUAGAACUGUUGGAAUCUGCUAGAUAAGGGAUAAUGUCUGACAUUUUUUUGAGGCUUGUUUGAUCAGGUCUGAUCUAGUUUUUCCAUCUCUGUCUUUUCAUUCAAUUUUUCCAUUACUAACUACUUCCACCUCCACACAUACCCCUUUUCUCUUUUCUUUUUUUCCUGAACAAUUUUUUUUAAACAUUAAGAGUCACUUCAUAACCAAAGCAAGCAGUAAAUAAUCCAGUAAUCAUCACCAGGCUUAGUACCUCUGGUCAGAGGACUAAUUUGCUGAAAAGAAAGCCUCUUUCUUCCAGCUUUCUUUCUAAAGAUCAAACCAGCACACCAUCAGAAG